GGCUGGCUGUUUGUGCAGCAGCAGCCGGCGGCGGCCUUCCGCGAGCUUCCCGGGGCCGCGCGAUGUUUUGCAGGCGCCUCGGCGGAGAUGGGGCUCGGGGAGCGGCGCUGCAAAGCUGGGCCGGCGGCAGCAGCAGGAAGAAAAGCCAAGACGACGACGACAACUGCUGCUGCUGCUGCUUUAACUCCGCCAAGGGAGGAACGUCCCGAUCGCCUUGAGAGCGCGCGGCUCCAGAGGCGGCCACAGCGGGGAGGCGAGACAGAGUAGGCGGCGGCGGCCCCCGCACGCAAGCCCAGGGCGGCUCGGCUCGCAUCCGCGCAGCAGGGGCGCACGGAAGAGGCAGGAGAGGAGAAACGCGGCUCCCCCCGCUGCGGGCUCCGGGCUCCCUGCUCCGCUGGCUUUCGUAGCCUGGAGUGGCCCGGGGCCCGGCCAUGUCCGCUUUCUGCUUGGAUCUGGCGGGGCCCGUUUCAGCACCAUCGGAACUGGACAGCGCCUGCCGCAUGGAACUGCAAGGGCCGCCCCAGUCGACGUCGGCGGGGGGAACCAAGGACAGCCGGAGCUCGCCCACAGCCGGGCCCGCCGCCGCCGCCGCUGAUGCUUCCUCUUCCUCUUCCUCGGCCUUCGAGGUGGGCGGCUCGGAAGGAGAGCUGGAGCUGGAGGAAGAGCUGGCUCUGCUAGCUGCCGCCGGGGAUGCUGCGCCCGGGGAGCCCGAGUCGAUGGGCCCGGCGGCGGCGGCGGCUCUGGAGCCGGAGCUGCUCUCCCUGAUGAGGCAGAAGGAGAAGGAUUUGCUGUUAGCCGCUCGGCUCGGGAAGGCGCUGCUGGAGCGCAACCAGGAUAUGAGCCGCCAGUACGAGAGGAUGCACAAGGAGCUGACUGAUAAGCUGGAGCACUUGGAACAAGAGAAGCAUGAACUAAGGCGACGGUUUGAGAACAAAGAAGGAGAAUGGGAAGGACGGGUGUCAGAGCUGGAAAGCGAUGUGAAGCAACUCCAGGAUGAGCUGGAGAAGCAACAGGUUCACCUCCGAGAAGCUGAUCGAGAGAAAACGCGGGCAGUCCAGGAACUCUCUGAACAGAACCAAAGACUCUUAGAUCAGCUCAGCAGGGCAUCGGAGGUGGAAAAACAGCUCUCUAUGCAGGUUCAUGUCCUCCAAGAGGACUUCAGGGAGAAGAAGUCAUCGACCAGCCAGCACAUCAUACGACUCGAGAGCCUUCAAGCAGAGAUUAAGAUGCUUACGGAUAGGAAGCACGAGCUGGAGCGUCGGCUGAGUGCCAUGAUGGAAGAAAACAAUCUUCUUCAGGGGACAGUGGAGGAGCUUCAAGAUCGCGUGUUGAUUUUGGAGCGGCAGAGUCACGAGAAGGACAUGCAGUUGCAUCAGAACCAGCUAGAACUUCAGGAGGUGAGACUGUCUUAUCGGCAACUGCAGCUAAAAGUAGAUGAACUCAGCGAGGAGAGAAGCCUACAGAAUUUCAACUCUACCAGCACGUCACUGCUGUCAGAGAUUGAGCAGAGCAUGGAGGCCGAGGAACUGGAGCAAGAGAGAGAACAGCUCAGACUCCAGCUCUGGGAGGCCUACUGCCAGGUCCGAUACUUGUGCACUCACCUUCGAGGGAACGACAGUGCAGAUUCUGCGGUCUCCACGGACUCUUCCAUGGACGAGUCAUCGGAAACCUCCUCGGCCAAAGAUGUGCCGGCUGGUAGCUUGCGGGCUGCCCUCAGCGAGCUGAAGAGGCUGAUCCAAAGUGUUAUAGAUGGCACAGACUCCACGAGCUCACGGCGAAGCGAUGAUGAUGCCUUAGAAGAACAGAUCAAGCAGACGGGCGAAGACUCGAGAGCCUUGAGGGAGCUGAUGGAAGGCGAAAGGGGGAAACUGAGGCAGAGCCUGGAAGAGCUGCAGCAGCUCCAUAGCCAGGUGACGCUACUGAGUGUGGAGAUGACUUCCCUGAAAGAGGAAAGGGACAGACUCCGGGUAUCAGUAGAUGAUAAGGAUAUGAGUGAACAGCUCUUGAAGGCUAUCAGGGAUCGGGAUGAAGCAAUCGCAAAGAAGAACGCUGUCGAAAUGGAGCUAGCCAAAUGCAAGAUGGACAUGAUGUCACUGAAUAGUCAGCUUUUGGAUGCUAUUCAGCAGAAGCUUAACCUUUCGCAGCAGCUGGAGGCGUGGCAGUUUGCUUCCUCAGGCCUUUUUACAAUAUGGCUCCUUUGGUUUCUGAUCUAGUGUGGCCUUUCUCAGUUCCCGUAACAACAGCUUUAGUCGUACACCCCUCCUGCCUUUAAGGAUGACAUGCAGAGGGUCAUUGACCAGCAGCUGAUGGACAAACAUCCAAAGGAGUGGAGCCAGCCCACCUAUUCCUUCUCCAGCGGUCACGGGGCAAAGC